rnacentral:rRNA from 1 species
UAACAGGAUUCCCUAGUAACUGCGAGUGAAGCGGGAAGAGCUCAAAUUUAAAAUCUCGGUAGCUUUGCUGUCCGAGUUGUAAUCUGUAGAAGUGUUUUCUGCAUUGGACCAUGUACAAGUCUCUUGGAACAGAGCGUCAUAGAGGGUGAGAAUCCCGUCCAUGACAUGGACUACCAAUGCUUUGUGAUACGCUCUCAAAGAGUCGAGUUGUUUGGGAAUGCAGCUCAAAAUGGGUGGUAAAUUCCAUCUAAAGCUAAAUACAAGCGAGAGACCGAUAGUGAACAAGUACCGUGAGGGAAAGAUGAAAAGCACUUUGGAAAGAGAGUUAAACAGUAUGUGAAAUUGUUGAAAGGGAAACACUUGAAGUCAGUCACAUUCUGCAGAACUCAGCCUUGCUUUUAUGGCUUGGUGCAUUUUCUGUAGAAUGGGUCAACAUCAAUCUUGGUUGGUGGAUAAAGUGGGAAGGGAAUGUAGCACCUCUUGUAGGUGUGUUAUAGCCCUCCUUCAUAUACAUUGACUGGGAUUGAGGACUGCAGCAUGCCCUUGUGGCCAGGACUUUAACAUGUCCCAUGCUUAGGAUGUUGGCAAAAUGGCUUUAAGUGACCCGUCUUGAAACACGGACCAAGGAGUCUAACAUGCCUGCAAGUGUUUGGGUGGAAAACCCUUGCGCAUAAUGAAAGUGAAAGUUGGGAACCUCCACAAGGGGGUGCACUGAUGCCCGGCCCAGAUGUUUACUGAUGGUGCUGUGGUAGAGCAUGUAUGUUGGGACCCGAAAGAUGGUGAACUAUGCCUGAAUAGGGUGAAGCCAGAGGAAACUCUGGUGGAAGCUCGUAGCGAUUCUGACGUGCAAAUCGAUCGUCAAAUUUGGG